ACUUCUACACCCUAUUUCUGGCGGGGUGGGAGGUGAGGGGGGUGUAGGGUAGAAUAUAAAAUCCAAUCGGUGGUAUUUAUUGUUAUUAUUUAUUAUUAUUUCGGAAGUGGCAGGGCUGCCUGUAAGCCGGGAGCUGAGAUCCGUAGCCUGCAUUUUCCAAAACAAAUGUUAAGCGCCUGCUUCACCUGCCAAGCUCCACAAGGCAAUAUAUAUAUGUACAAAAAUACACUCAGACAUGCACGGAUGUACUUAUAUACAUGUGUGUGUGUGUAUAUAUAUAUAUAUUCAUGCACACGCGCAUGUAGUGAGUGGGGUAGAUGGAGGACAAUAAAUGCCAGGCUGCUGUCACAGGGUGCAGCGAGCAGCUCUGACGUGCAAAAAUGUCCCUCUGGCUCCCCAUUUUUAGCAUUUUUAGCCGUCCCCUGCUCUGCCCGGCGGACACCUUCAAGGCUGUAAAACCAGAGGGUCGCAUCGGGGUCCCCGCCACUGCCCCCCUUCUCUUCCCCCCCUACGUCGGGGCGGCCCUUUUCCCGGGCCGGGCCGGCUACAAAGGGGAUGUGACCAGUCGCACCGGGACCCCCCCAGCCCUCAUCGUGCGUCCCGGCCCUGUUGUCCCCCGCCGCCCCCGCUGCCGGGCCAGGCCUCGGCAGCUGCCGGUGCCCAGCCAGGCCUCGUUUCCCAUUAGCGGUGCUGGGGCCUUUCCUCCCAGGCCUUUUUCUUCUUUUGCCCUUUUUCCCCUCCCCUCCUUUAUUUUUAUUUUUCACCUUUUCCCUCCCCAUCUCCCUGUCCCGUCCCGUUCCGUCUCCCCCCACCCCCCACCCCAGGGACAGACCUGAAAGACAACCAAGUUCUUUGAGGAGCGGAACACAAGAUGUGCGGGCGGGAGGUGGUGCUUUACGAGGGGAAGCGGUGGCCCCCUCCCCUGGGAAAGGGGGUCUCCGUUUCUAGGGGUGAAGCCCGGGCAUAUCCAACGGUGUCAUUAAUAAGGAACAGACUGACUCCAUCAACGGCGCUCUCCAUGUUUAGAGGCAUGACUGCUUGAAGCAAUUAGGCUCCCCAAUUAGCAUACUUCUCCUGACCCCAGCAGCACCACCAGGUCCUUACGUUAUCCAUCUCUUCAAAGUAGGGGAAAGCCAGAAGAAAACAUGCCUCCCAAGUGCCAGGGUGGCGAAACCAACACGCAAGCGGGCUACCAAAAUUACCCCUUUUGCCCUUAGAGCGGGGGGACGGAGGAGAGACGGGGGGGAGUAAAAAAAAUAAAAUAAACCAAGCCUCCUGAUGGCACCCCGCUGUCCGUGUUGCGGCAGCUUUGCUGUUUUCGGGCGUUUCGCGCUGAUUUCCAGCGUGUUCCCUCAUUCCUGCCCGAUAUCCCCCCCUCGCCCCCUCCCCGGCUUUCGGCAGGGCUCUGUGCGGGCGGGCAGAACCCGCAGCCGCGGGGGUGUCCCGGCGGGGGAAGGAGGGGGUCAUCCCGGGGGAUGCUCCCGAAAAGCCCCUUCGCUCGCCUCCCCCCGCCCAGCCCUCUGGGGACCACCAGGUGACUUUUAAGCACGGCCCGAUGGUUUUAAAUCCGUUCCCCCCCCCGCUCCCGCUGAGUGGGUUUCCCCAAAAGGUGACCGCAGGGGGUGUGUGAGGAUGGGGGGGAGGGGGGGGGACGGAUCCACGGAGCCGGUGCCCGAAGGUCCCGAUUCUGCAAAGCCCGCAGGGGGCUUCUGGGAGCAUCCCCUCCCUCCUCGCCUCCAAAAGCCAGUAUCAGCCACUGGCCCACCACGGGUAAAAAGACUCAUUUCCCACCCCCUCCCCCUGCCCUCCCCCCCCCGAAUUUUCCUCCUCCAGCCCUCCUGUAAACCCACGGAGGGGAUCCAGGGAGCCAGCGUUCAGCAGAUAGAGCCAUCCGCCCAGAGCUUCGCAGCACUGUGGAAGAAAAAUCUCUAUAAAACGAAAUAGGCAAUCAACUGAAAUCUAUCCUCUUUAAAUAAACUGAUUCCUUAGUAUUUUCCCAGUGUUGCUGUAAGUUGUUGUCUGUGAUGUCCCCCAGGGCUCUUUCCUCUGCUCUCUGAUUUGGUGUAUAAAAGCAGCUCUGAAUGAUGGAUUACUGUGUCAUUGCAGCCUGCGAAGGAUUAAUUUGUUUCAUUGAUUUCUCUUUAGGCAGAUUGCCAGAAUUCUCUGCUUCCCACCUUUCCCCGGGACUUCCAGCAGUAAUAGACAGUAAUAGCCUAAGACAAAUCAGCCCAUUCUUGUAAAAAUAGAAACACAAAAUCCUGAAGUCCCAGGAAAGCCAUAAAGAAGUUUUUCCCUUGUUGUGCUGUAAAUCCACUGAUUCUUAAAGCGAGCCCACCUUCUCUCCUCUCCCCACUCCUCUUUUACAAAAAAAAAAGGUUGCAGAGUCCUGGGGGGGUGUGUGUGUGCUUAACCUGAAGAGCAAUUUCAACAAGCAGUUGCAUGUGAAGGGUGGGCAUUUGACAGUCGGGGAGAAAUGUUUUGUUCAUGCUCAACAAGAGGGGUAGGAAUCACAGAAGGACUGAGUAAACCUCACAGUUCAUUCUUUCUUAAAAUCGCGGGGCCGCCUAUAGCUAAUCUAUUAUCGAUCCAUCUGCCUGUCUGGGGUAGUGAGAAGAAAUGCAGUUUGUGUCAGCUCCCGGAGCCACCCGUCUGACGUGGGGGUGGACCCUCCCAGACCAAUCCGUCUGCACCCUUUCAGGAUAACCAGGCCUUGAAGCACUGGGAUGUGGUGGGAAAAGGGAGCCGGGCACCCCUUGGGGUGCAGGUUGUGGGAGGGCGAGGGAAGGCGAGGAGAUCCCACGCCGUAGGUAGCCUCUUCUGCCCACAAAACCGCUCUUUUCAGACCCACUUUACCGACAGCAGACAUGGGUCAACCGUGCUAAUCUAUUUGUUUCCACAAUGCAGUGCUAAAAAAAUUGUAUUGAUUUAGUGUUCUCGAGUUAAACUUUAGGUGCAAUUAGUCCUAUAGUAAAAAGUGAUGUUGUCAUGUGCUAAUGUCUUUCCAGCUCAGGCUUCUGUAAAGCUGCGCCGUGCCGAAACAGCACUUUUAGAUAGCAGCGAGGGUAGAGAAGCAUUUAUUUCACCUCUGUAUCUGCCUUGCGAUGAGAGUAGCUCAAUAGCUACUUUCAAAGGGAAGGUAAAUUUAUCGUACUGGAUACCACAGAUCCACUGCAUUGCAAACCCAGGAUAUUCUGAAGUUACAGCCCUAUUAUAUUUUCUUUUUCCCUGCUCUCCGGGAGGAUGUUAGCCUGCUACUUCCUAUUUUAAUUUACUGUAAUUUCAGGUCGAAUCCAAGUACCAGUCCUUGGGUCACAGCAUGAUUUCCUUUAUAUCAUGCCAGAAAAUACGCUUUGCCCUGCCUAAGCAAUGUUCUUGUAUUUACUUGCGUGAGAUCCCUCUGUGGUGUGCAGAGUCUAACUUUUCCCUUCUCCACCUAAUGCGAUUUUUGAAGGUGCUGUAAUAGUAGUCAUAAAGAGGGUUAUGUGUUUGCUCCCGGGAAUCCCUAGAAAUCCCUGCGUUGUCCGGGGAAAGCCUGUGGCGUGGGUUAGCCUGCAGUGAGACAAGGGUGGCUGCCUCCAGGCACGGCAGCCUGGAAAACGCUGGUGUCCUGGGGAAUGCUGCGAUCUUCCCUUCAAAGGCUUCUCUGCUGUAACAGGGACCCCCCCCCUUUCUGGCAUAACACAGGCUCGUUUUGCCCAGCAUUCCUGCUCUCCUGAUGGUUUUCCACUGUCCAGCCACUUUGAAAGGAAAGGCACAAAAGGCAACAAGCGUUCACAUUUUUCCUGCCCGGGCAGCCGAGCCCCAGGGAGGCUUGGCUCUGAACGCGGGGCUCGUCCUGCCUGGCAGCAAACCACGCUCCCAAUCCCCUCUGCCCCUUCCUCCUCCCUGCGCCUUUUCAGCUGGCACAGGAGAAUCCUUCUGCUCCUCCGCCAGGCACUGAGGAAAGUUUUGCUCUUGGUAAAUAAAUGAUAACAAUAUUCUUG